AUAAUCUGUUUGUGACGUCAUGUUUUUGCGUAAUGGAUAAGCCACCCUUCCUAACUUUUUUUUAAUAUUGUUGAUGUCUGUUUUAGCGAAGUGAUGUAUACAGUCCAUUUAAAAUGUUAAGUGUUUCAUUAAAUGUUCGAUCAUUUAAAUUUAAUGCAUGAAACAAAAACAAACAAACGUGAUUAUAAAUUCAUAAAAUAGUUCUGGAAAGCGGAGGGUGUGAAUCUUGCUGAUAUUUUAUCAACCCCCUUGUAAGCUCAUUGUAUGGCAGAGUUGAAGAAAAAGAUUUAACAGUUCUAGUAUAGGAUCAAAUUCUAAUUUAGUAAUCUUCAUGUUAUUUCUGAGGCUCUUAAGUGAUUCACACGAGGGUAAUUAAUUAGAAUUGGUUGUAUGGCGGAAGCUGCACAAACGCAAUUGAAUGGAAAUACUGAAAAUCAGACACCUGAAGCGAAUACGGAGGAUGAAGCAGCCCCCAGAUCUCUUAGACUUAAAAUUAUUGCUGGCCAUGAUCUAGCAAAAAAGGAUAUUUUUGGUGCCAGUGAUCCAUAUGUGUCUAUAGAAGUAUUUAAUGGAAAAAAUGGAAAAACUACAUACACUACUAGAACUAAAAAGAGGGU